UGAACGCUGGCGGCAGGCCUAACACAUGCAAGUCGAGCGGAUGAAAGGAGCUUGCUCCUGGAUUCAGCGGCGGACGGGUGAGUAAUGCCUAGGAAUCUGCCUGGUAGUGGGGGACAACGUUUUCGAAAGGAACGCUAAUACCGCAUACGUCCUACGGGAGAAAGCAGGGGACCUUCGGGCCUUGCGCUAUCAGAUGAGCCUAGGUCGGAUUAGCUAGUUGGUGAGGUAAUGGCUCACCAAGGCGACGAUCCGUAACUGGUCUGAGAGGAUGAUCAGUCACACUGGAACUGAGACACGGUCCAGACUCCUACGGGAGGCAGCAGUGGGGAAUUUUGGACAAUGGGGGCAACCCUGAUCCAGCCAUUUCGCGUGAGU
rnacentral:rRNA from 1 species